AUGGACGGUGCAGCAGGCCGCAGAGCUAGCAGUGGCUGCACCCACCAUUGCUGCAUCGCUUGAUGGGAGGUACUUGUCAGGGUUGAAGGAUGAGCGAGUCGCAGCUGCUGGUGUGCUGGAGGAGGAGGGGAUGCCAGCCGGGCUGUUGGAAAAAAUCAAUGUUGAUAAGAAAGUGCUGGUGGAUAGGGUGAGGCAGGCGCUUUAUGCAUCGAAGAUUUGCAGCUAUGCGCAGGGCAUGAAUCUGAUACGAGCCAAGAGCGUGGAGAAGGGAUGGAACCUUAACCUUGCGGAGCUUGCCAGGAUCUGGAAGGGUGGGUGCAUUAUCCGUGCAAGGUUUCUUGAUAGGAUCAAGAGGGCAUACGACAGGAACCCUGAGCUCGCCAAUUUGAUUGUCGACAGAGAGUUUGCAAGGGAGAUGGUGCAGCGACAGAAUGCCUGGAGAUGGGUUGUAGCACGGGCAGUGGAGGCUGGCAUUAGCACUCCAGGAAUGACUGCUAGUCUUUCCUACUUUGACACCUACAGGUCCAGUAGGUUGCCUGCAAAUCUGAUCCAAGCGCAGAGGGACCUGUUUGGGGCACACACCUAUGAGCGAAUUGAUCGUCCGGGUUCAUUCCACACUGAAUGGACCAAGCUGGCAAGGAGGAGCAAUGGUGCAGCCAUUUGAGGACUUGGUAUCAGCAGUUCUGUCAGUUACUCUGGGUGAUGUCUCUUUGUGGGUUCUCUUUCAUUUCACUAUUGAUGUCUCUAUGAUCCUAGAUCUGAGUUGUGU
rnacentral:lncRNA from 1 species